GGCGGAGUGCCUGAGUGGUUAAAGGGAAUGACUAGAAAUCAUUUGGGUUCGCCCGCGCAGGUUCGAGUCCUGUCUCCGUCG
rfam:Pseudomassariella vexata strain CBS 129021 BCR38scaffold_10, whole genome shotgun sequence.